UGAGUAGGGCAUUGGAUUACU
rnacentral:piRNA from 1 species